UACGAAGGGGGCUAGCGUUGCUCGGAAUCACUGGGCGUAAAGCGCACGUAGGCGGAUUGCUAAGUCAGGGGUGAAAUCCUGGAGCUCAACUCCAGAACUGCCUUUGAUACUGGCGAUCUUGAGUCCGGGAGAGGUGAGUGGAACUGCGAGUGUAGAGGUGAAAUUCGUAGAUAUUCGCAAGAACACCAGUGGCGAAGGCGGCUCACUGGCUCGGUACUGACGCUGAGGUGCGAAAGCGUGGGUAGCGAACAGG
rnacentral:rRNA from 1 species